rnacentral:rRNA from 1 species
UGGAACAAUGUAGGCAAGGAAGUCGGCAAAAUGGAUCCAUAACUUCGGGAAAAGGAUUGACUUUGAGGGAUGGGCUCAGGGGUCCCCGCCUCGAACCCGUCGGUUGUCGGCGAACUGCUCGAGCUGCUCCCACGGAGAGAGCGGGUCGCCGCGUGCCGGCCGGGGACAAACAGGGAACGGCCCGCUUGGGGGCCUUCCCCUACCAUCGAACAGCUGACUCAGAAUUGGUACAAACAAGGGGAAUCCGACUGUUUAAUUAAAACAAAGCAUUGCGAUGGUCCAUGCGGAUGUUGACGCAAUGUGAUUUAUGCCCAGUGCUCUGAAUGUCAAAGUAAAGAAAUUCAACCAAGUGGGAGUAACUAUGACUCUCUUAAGGGAGCCAAAUGCCUCGUCAUCUAAUUAGUGACGCGCAUGAAUGGAUUAACGAGAUUCCCAUUGUCCUUGUCUACUAUCUAGCGAAACCACAGCCAAGGGAACGGGCUUGG